AACUACCAUGUAGUGUGAUGCCAUCUGGGUUACCAUUCUAAAUGGAUGGUCAUAGGUUCGAACCCCGGUGGUGGGGGCUUAGAUUCUUUGGGCUGAAAAUGUUUGAGAAAGUAUAAAACAGAUACUACCUUGUAAAGAAUCAAGUAUUUCAAAA